rnacentral:lncRNA from 1 species
CAGGAACUCCCUCAAUUCAAGCAAUAUUUUCUUUCCUUUUUUUCUUUUAAAUAAGUCUCUUAAAAAUUUCUUUUAUUGAAGUAUAGUUGAUUUACAAUGUUAUGUUAGUUUCUGGUGUACAGCAAAGUGAUUCAGUUAUAUUAUAUAUAUAUAUACAUACACACAUACGCGCACACACACACACACACACACAUACAUAUAUACUUUUUCAUAUUCUUUUCCAUUACAGUUAAUUACAAGAUAAUGGAUAUAUAGUUCUCUGUGCUAUACAGUAGGACUUUGUUGUUUAUUUUAUAUAUAGUAGUUUGUGUCCACUAAUCCCGAACUCCUAAUUUAUCCUUCUCCUCCCCCAGCCCCUUCCCCUUUUGAUAAUCAUAAAUUUGUUUUCUAUCUGUAAGUCUGUUUCUAGUUUGUAAAUAAAUUCAUUUGUAUCAUAUUGUAGAUUCCACAGGUAAGUGAUAUCAUGUGCUAUUUGUCUUUUUCUGUCAAGCAGUACUUUCUUUCUUUUUAAGUUUUAUUGAAGCAUAGUUUAGUUGAUUUAUAAGGUUGUGAUUAUGCCUGCUGUACAACAAAGUGAUUCCGUCAUACAUAUUCACAUAUCCAUUCUCUUUCAGUUUCUUUUCCCACAUGGAUUAUCACAGAAUAAAGUAGUACGUUCUUAAUAUUAAGCUGUCCCUGACUUGGUUGAUUAGGUAGAAAUCUUCCUAUUACAGGUCAUUUUAGAAUGAAACUAGUUGGAGUUCCUGUCGUCAUGGCUCACGAAUCUGACCAGGAACCAUGAGGUUUUGGGUUUGAUCCCUGGUCUCGCUCAGUGGGUUAAGGAUCCAGUGUUGCCGUGAGCUGUGGUGUAGGUUGCAGAUGUGGCUGGGAUCCGAUGCUGCUGUGGCUCUGGUGUAGGCUGGCGGCUACAGCUGCGAUUAGACCCCUAGCCUGGGAACCUCCAUAGGCUGUGGGUGUGGCCCUAGAAAAGAAAAAAAAAAAAAAGAAUGAAACUUGUUAUAUUUGCAAUUUUAUGUGUUUAUUAUUGGAUUAACAUCUUUCCUUUUGAAUAAGUUCCAUUAGGCAUGGACUGUAUUUAAUUGUGCUUACCAUUGCAUUUUCAGCACCUAAGGCAUUGCCUGGCAUAUAACCCUAGGCUCUUGAUAAAUAUUUGGCCAAUGACUCAGUCAAAAGGAGGAGUAAAGUCUGCAGUUGGAAAUAUUGGCCUGGAUCACACAGAAGCUAAAAAAAAAAUGAACUCUAUGAGUUGCCGUCAUGGCUCAGCAGAAACGAAUCUGACAAGCAUCCAUGAGCAUGCAGGUCUGAUCCCUGGCCUCACUCACUCGGUUAAGGAUCUGGCGUUGAUGUGAGCUGUGGUGUAGGUCUCAGAUGCGGCUCGGAUCCCAAGUUGCUGUGACUGUGGCAUAGGCCGGCAGCUACAGCUCUGAUUUGACCUCUAGCCCGGGAACCUGCAUAUGCCGUGGGUGUGGUCUCAAAAUACACACACACACACACACACACACACACAAAGAGCUCUAAUUUGGUGCUAUGGUUAUUAUAAAAAUUGUCUCAAAUAUAAGUAUUGUAGGGAUAGUGUGAAGCCAUUAUUGAUUACAUUCCCAAAGUUAGCGUAUAGCUUGUCUUUCUCCCUCUGGAUUGCUCUUCUAUGGAUGAUGCCUUCAUCUUAUCAGCUAGCCAGUGGCAAAACUUUGGGGUCAUCUUUGAGUUUCUCCAUAUCAUAUGCAUUCAGUUAGUGGUCAAAGUAGGUUCAUUUCUCUUUCAAGAUGAUUGUCACAUCUGUUUCUUUCAUUUUGGUCUCAUCGCCUCCAAAUUAAUUUAGGCUCUUGUCUUUUUGUGGCUGUAUCACUGAUCUCUCUGCCUCCUUUCUCUUUCUGAAAGACAUCUCAGCUUAUAUUUCUAUUGCCUAUGAAACAAAUUAAAUAAAAGCUCAAGUCCUUCCACAACCCUGUCUUUUUUUUUUUUUGACCACCCCUGUGGCAUGCAGAAGUUCCUUGGCUAGAGACUGACCUCGAGCCACAGCAGGAACAAUGCCAAAUCCUUAACCGCCAGGCCACCGGGGAACUCCCAGAACCCUGUUUUGAAAUUUCAACCUUAUUUUCUUCUAAUACCCUCAGUGCUUGCCAAAUUUCAAUUAUUCAGAUCCCACUAUUUUUCAUAAUUUUUGCCAUAUCUAAGACAACCUGUAUUAUUUUUUAUGCAAUAUUUUUCUUUAAAUCUUCAAACUUUUUAACUUAGUCUCAUUCUAAUUUACAAUUUCUUCAAAAUCAUGGGCUUGAUGAGGCUGAAUAUACUUCUUUUAUAAUUCAUUUAAUAACAAAUAUUACAUGUUACUGUUAAAAUAUUUACCCGAGUAUCACCUGAUAUCAUCUUAUACAUUAGUGGUGGUUUGUGGACUAUACUUUGGGGAACUUUGCUGUACCCAAAUUUCCUGCUCUACUCCCUGCCUAUAGAAUAUAUUUUUCAUGU